UGACCCUAUUGGUCAAUGGGCGAGAGCCUGAACCAGCCAAGUAGCGUGCAGGAUGACGGCCCUAUGGGUUGUAAACUGCUUUUAUGUGGGGAUAAAGUGAGCUACGUGUAGUUUAUUGCAGGUACCACAUGAAUAAGGACCGGCUAAUUCCGUGCCAGCAGCCGCGGUAAUACGGAAGGUCCAGGCGUUAUCCGGAUUUAUUGGGUUUAAAGGGAGCGUAGGCCGUGGAUUAAGCGUGUUGUGAAAUGUAGACGCUCAACGUCUGAAUUGCAGCGCGAACUGGUUCACUUGAGUAUGCACAACGUAGGCGGAAUUCGUCGUGUAGCGGUGAAAUGCUUAGAUAUGACGAAGAACUCCGAUUGCGAAGGCAGCUUACGGGAGCACAACUGACGCUGAAGCUCGAAGGUGCGGGUAUCAAAACAGGAUUAGAUACCCUGGUAGUCCGCACAGUAAAACGAUGGAUGCCCGUUGUUAGUUCACUUUAGAAUUAGCGACCAAGCGAAAGCAUUAAGCAUCCCACCUGGGGAGUACGCCGCAAACGGUG
rnacentral:rRNA from 1 species